CUGUCUCAGAGGGUGUUGAAAGGUUUGCCCUACUGUUCCUAAAGCACUCAGAGAUCCUCACUUGGAGAGCAUUAUCAAAACCCAAGGUAUAACUACUCUCAAAUCUCCCACAGGAGUAGCUUAUUAAUGCAAGGAUCAUCAAUGAAACAGUUGUUUAAAUGGGGCAUAAUGAAUCCAUGACUUUGCAUAUGACGUACCGCUUUCCAACAAGGCAUUAUGGUAAAUAUUUUCAAAAUCAGGCAACUAAAUUUAAAUAUGGAUUUAGAAGGCUAACUUUAGGCACCAGUUUUUGAACAUAUUGACCUAUAAAAGUUAAUUUUGUGCCUUUCUAGGCUGAGCUAAAAGACCCAGCUCUGUUAGCUCAAAGAGUGGUCCAGCGAGUUACACUCCAUUAGCGAGGGAUGCACAAGUAGCGACCAAAACCUAUGAAAUAAGAGGACUGAGUGGGGAUACAACACAAAGGGAGAAUUAGGAGUACUAUAAUGGGAUGAAAUGAAGGAAAGGAAAAUUUAUGCCGAAUAUCAGGAAAGAUAUCCAGAUGAUACAAAGCUAUAGUACAUUCGCCUCCCAGGGGAGAGGUGGAAGCCUCAUUGCUUGGGGGGAUUAAACACUAAAUAGGAAAGAAAACACAUCUAGGCAUAUGGCAGUAGGGCAAUGCUUUACAAGCUGUAGCUCCUUGAUAUCAACAAUCCAGGAAGCCAUCUCCUGCUGCAUCAGCAGACUGGAACUUUUAGGCUACUUCUACCCUGCAUCUGAGAGUGCACUCCCCAAAGUGGGUAGACAGACAGGCGCUAGCUCUGCUCCAGCUAACACCCUAAAAUUAGCAAGUGGCUUAGGAGGUGAUUAGGCUAGCCACCUGCGUGAAUACCGUGGAAGUCGGGAGGACUUGUAGUUGGGAAGGUUGGCUGACCCGGGGCCUGUGUCACUGCAGCCACAUUUCUCAUGCUAUCUUGAUCAGAUCUAGCACUUGACUGUCUACCUUUACUAGGAAGCAGGCUCCCAGCUGCUCCAGGCCUACCCGUAGCGUGCCAGGCUGUGAGAGAUGGGGAAUAUUGCAUGAGGAGCUGGUCUCUCCCUGACAAAGCAGUUUACAGAAGGAUUUAGUUAGAGUUACUGCAAUAAGGAAUACUCCUGCCUUGGCUGGGAGGUGAACUGGAUGGAACCCAAUGGGACAUUUUGUCAUGUCUACUUUCUAGGAUUCAGAGAUUAACGCUGUGAUUAGCCACGUUUUGCAAGGUCUUCUCUUUCAACUGAAAAAUGGGCUUCAAAUAUGCAAGCGCGUGUGUGGACCAAAGACAUGUCAGAGGGUUUGCCACUAUCUUAGCUUCCGCUUCAGGGAAAUAUUCAGUUUAACUGACUUAAUCUCUCUCUCAUGAUUUGCACAUUGUAGUAUGUAUUUCAUCAAAGCAUGAAACAAGCCAUUUUUGACAUCUUUUAACAAGUGGUUCUAUACAUUGCUGCACACUCAGUGGGACGGGCAGUCCCCAUCCAGGUGUGGCCCAGGACUAAAUGUAAGCACUCGGUGUCAGGCUCAUGCAAUUGACUGUUUUCAACCUGCCUCUAGUUUAUGAAACUAGCCCUAUGCAGAGAACAGAAAUACAUUUUCUUGGAAAAAAUGGGAGAAUCAGUGCUUACUGUCAAGCUGUCAUGACCCGUUCUGGGGGCAUGCUUUCAUGCUGCUGGCUGGCGAGCAUAGCCUUGAACGCAAUUACUUCCUAGCAUGAAACUGACAAGAGCGACACAAAGCAGACUGCAAGGACAGUGCAGACAGCAUCGCAGUAUGAAAGGUGUCUGUUGGUAUGGGGCUAAACACACAAAUCUCUCAUUUCAUCCAACUUUUACCACCAAGUUCUGAUUAAAAGAUGAGCUGGAGAUCCACAUUAAAGAAAUAAAUGUAUCUCACCAAAUAACCUUCCAAUUAACUUUACCAUGUCUAUGAAUGACCAAUGAACUGUUUUUUAAAAAAAUACGGCUUUUCACUUUUUAUUUCAUGCUACUCAUAAAACAAGGAAGGCUAUCUAUGAUUAUACAGGUAACGUGGGAAGCUAGGGAAUAUGGUGGGAGAGGCGAGGAAAGUGUAUAUUUGAGGGAAACAUACUUUGAUUGUCAUUCAACGUAAACCCACAACCACAACUGGCUUUGGGACACAGUAAAAGAUGCAUAUAAAAUGUUUGCUGUUUGACAAGUGGUAAGCAAAACAGCUGUUAUAAACUCAAAGAAAGCAGUUGUCUAAGUCUUACCCCACUGAAGGGGUUUGAAGAGGUGACUUUCAAAUUUAGCUCUGGCAAGUUCCUACCGUUUCACAUGACAGAACAGUGACAGAGCAAAAGUGUCCGUGGAACACCCCAAACACAUAUUUAUAGAAAAACAAGGGUUCGGGUUUUUUCAAAUUGCCUGUGGUGAGAAAAUCAGCACAGCUCCAUGUAUGUGCAGGGGGUGCAGAAAAUUCCUUGCAGGAUCAGAGCUUCGCACAGUGAAAAUCUGUGCCGACACGGAAUUUAUAUUUAUGUAAAAUGUCAUGCACCGCCCUGUAUGAACAAAUGAUAUCUGUACUUCCCACAGGUUUUAGAAAGACACAGAAUGGUCAAUUACCAUGUGCUACCUAAGCAAUACCCUACUUGUAUCAAGAAAGUAUCACUCCGACACUCAAAGCUAUAGUGUUGCCUGUCCUGAACUGCAGAUUUCACUAGACAGGCUAGGUGAGUCAGGUCUUUCCUGUAGCUGAGCACAGAUUACAUCUUCAGCAAGUUAUCAAAAAUGCUGAAGACCAGUUAGUGGAAGAGAAAGAACAGAAUACACUUAGCAGCAGGAAACUUACCAACAAAUACAAUUAGAAAAAACUUGUGUAGAGGAGAGUAUUUGACAGAGGAGCAGAAAUACUAUAAAGGAAACAACAAGUGGACCAUCGUAUAGCUGUAUCCUGGCUCAUGUUGAAUUCACUUGGGUGCAUACUGCCCUUAUAAACCAUAUUAACACUACACGUACGCUGGCCAGCAGUUAAUACACUGUUUCAUGUAAGCUAAACAUUGGAGAAGCAUUUUUACGGCAUUAAAUUCUUUAGGAAAAAACCACAGCGUUCCUCUUCAGAAUCUCUGCAUUCAUCUGCGUCUCUUUGGAGAAGAACCAACACCCCUAUAUUACCGAAAACACAAGGUCAUGGGUGCUUUACUGACAACUCCGCAUGUGGUGCUGAAACACUUAUGUAUGCAAAAGCAUGAGAUUCGGCAAUGACAACUCAUUUCUUUCCUGCGAGGCAUUUUUUAAGACAAUAUUGCAAAUGGACCAUACAUGUAACCGAAUGGACAAGUUUGAUAUGGAAACAAACCAUGCAGAACUGAAUUCCCAAAUGUAAGUGGGUGUGUGGAGAUUCAUUAUUAUCAUCAUCAAACUUUAAUGUAGCUUUGCAGAAGUGUCAUUGGAUGACAGAUUACAAUGCACAUCAAUUGGAUUCGGAGAGGGUUCGCAAUCCAUUACGGGUUAAAAGCUGUUCCGGCAUGAAUCAGAGUCACAGCGGUGAGGAGAUCAUCGAUACAAGGGAUUAUGCAGAUUAAAGAAAUACCCUGUGCAUCUGAAAGUUUUCAGAAUGCAAACUAUGUCAACCCUGAAAACAAGAGGCACUGCAUCAUUAUGGCAGGAGAGACAAAGCAGGUGGGGUUUAACAGACAAAAAAAGAUUGUUUUAAUAGGAGAGAAACAUCAGUCAUCAAGUCUUACUUCAUUCAGACUUUCUAUCCAACCCCAUCCAUCUUCAGUGCCAAGAGAUGACAGGGCCCUGCUCCCUUCUUCCCCCUGCCUGGUAUAUCAAUAAUGCCCAUUUCUACCAUAACAAAUGACUCGCUAGAAUGGUCCUUUUCCCUAAACUGGCUUGCCAAGCUCUAGGGAUGCCUUAGUACCUGCUAUGGUUAACAUGACUAUAAUGGGAUCCCUUGUGAGGUAGGCAUCAAUGGGCGGAGCCUUUUGUACCCAUCUUCAUACACAGCCACUUUGUCAUUCAUGGCUGGGGAAUGUCUGCAAAAGAGGGAGCUGAGGGAGGAAAAAAAAAAAAAAGACACACCCA